rnacentral:rRNA from 1 species
ACGGGGUGCAGCAGGCGCGAAAACUGACCAAUGCGCGAAAGCGUGAGUCGGUCAAUCCGAGUGUAGACCCAUCGGUUUACUUUUACCAUGUAUACAACGCUUAGUGAAUAAUGUGGGGGCAAGACUGGUGCCAGCCGCCGCGGUAAAACCAGCUCAUAGAGUGGUGAUCAUGAUUAUUUGGCUUAAAGUGUGCGUAGCAGGGAAUUCUAAGUCCUCUGUGAAAUGCCAGGUCUUAAGCUUGGCACGUGCAGAGGAUACUGGAAUCCUUGGGACCGGGAUAGGUGUAAUGUACGGUUUGGGUAGGGGUGAAAUCCGAUAAUCCAAGCCGGACAACCGGUGGCGAAGGCGUUACACUGGAACGGGUCCGACUGUGAGGCACGAAAGCUAGGGUCGCGAGCCGGAUUAGAUACCCGGGUAGUCCUAUGCCGUAAACGAUGCUCACUAAGUGUUAGGUAAUGCAAGACAUUCUCUAGUGCCGAAGCGAAAGCGUUAAGUGAGCCGCCUGGGAAGUACGUUCGCAAGAAUGAAACUUAAAGGAAUUGGCGGGGGCCUACUACAAGAAGUGGAGCCUGCGGUUUAAUUGGACUCAACUCCGGGAAACUCACCUGGGCCGUAACGUGGAUGAUUGUCCUGUUGAAGACACUGCUUGACGCGUUACUGGAGGUGCAUGGCCAUCGUCAGUUCGUGCCGUGAGGUGUCCUGUUAAGUCAGGCAACGAACGAGAUCCCUACCGUCAAUUGCCAGCGAGACCAACUUGGUCGUCGG